rnacentral:rRNA from 1 species
UACGAAGGGGGCUAGCGUUGCUCGGAAUCACUGGGCGUAAAGCGCACGUAGGCGGUCUCUUAAGUCGGUGGUGAAAUCCUGGAGCUCAACUCCAGAACUGCCUUCGAUACUGAGAGUCUCGAGUCCGGGAGAGGUGAGUGGAACUGCGAGUGUAGAGGUGAAAUUCGUAGAUAUUCGCAAGAACACCAGUGGCGAGGGCGGCUCACUGGCCCGGUACUGACGCUGAGGUGCGAAAGCGUGGGGAGCAAACAGG